CCCCCGCCCGGGCCGGCCUCGCGCCGCGCUGCGCCCGCUCCCCAAAUACGUCUUGGCGGCGCCGGGGAGCGCAGCGGAGCCGUGCCCGGAGCCGUGCCCGGAGCCCUCGGCGGGGCCGCGGGCAGCCUUCGCGCCAUGGUGGUGAGAUCAACAACUGUGGACAGUUGUGUGUUGUCUACACUGACUGACUUACGAAAGCUUCCCCUUCGUUUCACGCUGUGCAGUGUUCAGGCUCUCUAUCAUUAAAAAGGCAUUUGUUUGGAUCACAAGCAUGUUUGCAGAAAACAUCUGUAACCAUUAAACUGAAAAGAAAGGUGCUUUCUGUUUCCAGCCCUGCAGAUAUUAUGGUAGAGAAUAAUUAGGAAAGUGGCUGAUCUCAGAGCUGUUUUCUCUGCCUUGUGCUUUAGGUAAAGCAGUGUCAGUAGCUGCAUGAUGAGUGUGAAAACCUCUGUUCUACUGCCUGUUCUGAUUGAAUACCACUUUAAUAGAUAUUUUUUUUUCCUAUCUGAAAAAUUAGAAGGCCGUGACCUUGCUGCUGCAGGACAAACUAUCUUCACUAAUUAGAAAUUCUUGCUUUUAGCUUCUCAUGCAGCAUGUUUGAUCUCAGAUGAGACCAGUUGUGUGUUUAAUAUCAUAUCUCACACCAACAUGCAAAAACCCAGAACAACAAAAGCCAAGGGCAUAUUUUUAUUCAGAAACAAGAGAACAGCCAAGGCAGUAUUUUUGUGACAACAGUAGGAGAACUGAUGGGGACUAAUGCUAUUCCUGCUAUACCCAGAAGCUUACUAUCGCUUUCAGUGUGAGUUGGCAUGAGUUCCUAAAUAUGAAUAAAUAUGAAAGGCAGUUGUCUGUGAUUUUCAGUGUGAAAAUGAUCUUGUAGGCAUUGUACACACAAGUCAGAGGUGACAAACAUUACAUUUAAAAUCUCUGCACUUGAAAGCUACUAGUGAAACGCUUGGCAUUCUGCAGACCUAAUUUUCAAGCCAUUUUCUAAGAUCUAUAGCAUUCAAGGCAGUUUUUAGUACUCCAUGAUUUCUAAAACUUGCUGUUCAUUAUAAUUUAAAGCUCUGAACACAAAGGGACUAUUUUAAUGUAUGCACUAAGACACUAUACUCAAUGUUUUGUAUUCCUCUAUCACACUCCAAUGUCUUUGGAAAACAGUAAUGGUAUUUAGGAAAACCUGUGGGCCAUUUUUGUAAACAAUUAUGCACAUUCAACUUGAGGCAGAUGAAUUCAUGCAGAUACAGGACUCAGCAAGAUAAGUGUCUUUGAAGAUGAGGAAGAAUUAUUUGGUCAUCUCCUGAUGCUUUAAAGUUAAUACGGUGAUUCUCAAAGGAGAAAUAACUUCAUGCAUUAGCAAUUGGCAGUUUUAAUAAGUUUAUUGUUUCAUUUAUUAUAGAAAAUGUAGCAAUCCUGGUUAAGACAUAAAUAAUAGGUAAAGAUUUAAGUGAAAAACACUCUGAGACAGAAAGCUAUUCAUUUCUUUUCUAUCACAGCAGAAGAAACAAUUGUAUUUUUUGUUUUUUACUUUCUUUGGCUCUAGAAAGCGUUUCCAAUCUAUGAGCUAAACAAAAGUCAGAUUUCUCAGGUACACAAGGUAUGCUCAAAGGAGAAAAGUUUGCACUGGUAAGCUUGAGAGAUACAGCUGUAAGUAGGUAUUUGGGAAGAAUCAGUAAACACAACAGUUGACAACUACUUCAUGUUCUAGAAUCACAAGGCUUUGCCUUUUGUGAAUUCUAAUUUACAUUCCCCUGACUGCAUGCAUGUCUUUGAUCUUUGUGUUUAACUCCUUCACACCGCCACGAACAUGGUAUUUCUGCAAGUCAAGCUUUUAUUCUUGAAAUGGCAGAAAGAGUGCUGAAGACAUCAGUUUGUUUACAUGCUUUCUUCUUAAGAUGCUCACUAAAAUCUGCACUUUUGUGGACUGCAAAUGCAGGCUAAAGGGAAAUGCUAUAUUUAAAAUAUAUUCCUUUAGGAGUGUGGAAAUAAUUCUGGACAUUUGGGAUAGGUUUUGCUAAUGUUUGUUCUCACUGUUUCAGUUGCUUUCCCCACUGUGUACCUGGAUCACUUAAGGUGUCACCAAUUAUGUCACUUCAUUAUCAGGAGUUCUGAAGACAUUUAAAUAAUGAGUUGUGGUUGCACACAGCAGAUUGUACUUUCAUGAAAUAUCUCUAGCUGUUCCCAAGAACGAGGGCCCAUGAGCAGCCAACCUUCAGAGCUCCCACAGUUAAAGUAGCUGGAGUUUUCAUGAGCACCACCUCUAUUAUAAGUGCUUAGCUGGUGGUGCUACCCAUGUUUUGGACCUGUAGUGGAGUUGAGAGGAUGCACCACAAUCCCAAACUGCUAUUUCUGCCUGAGAGCAUGAUGGAAGAGCCAAGAACCAGGUGCUGUGGGGCUGCCUGCUGGGCUUGCUAUGGAAUGUUUUCACAGAUUGCCUUUGACUAACAGGAAGAGAAACAUUUUCCCACGCUAUCUUCUCAGCAUGCCUCCCUGUUAUUUGGUCCUAACACAGGGAAAAUAUUUACCCUGUGAAAGUGCGUGCGAUACUUAAAAUGACAAAUAUGUAUCUUAUAAGUUACAUUUGGGAAUCGGCCCUUCCUUUAGUUACAGGCCAAAUCAUGGGUGCAGUAAUUAGGGUUUCCCGCGUGCAUUUAAUUGAAACCAGUCUAAGCCUCUCUUAGGGUUAUAUUUGGAUCCAGGAAUUUGCUGUAGACCACUGGAGGGAAAUGGGUCGAUCAGUAUCAGAAAUUCAGUGAUACUUUAAAACUAGGGAUUCAGCCUGUCUCCAAGCCCAUUGGUUUCUAUGCCGAGGCACAGAGCUUGUUGUUCUUAUACCAACGUUAAUAUUUUAAAGCAGAAGAAGCAUAUGUCUCAGGAUGACCUUAAAUGACAUACAUUAGAAGUUUUGAAGUUUUGAAGUUUGCUUAUGUAUUCCCUGAAACUUAUUUUGUGCUGAUUGCCACGAGAACAAAGGAAUAAUUCAAUUUUCUUAUUUUCUGCAUCUCCUAGCUUUGAAGUUGUCAUUUUUGCAGCAGAUCACAGUCCAUGAGACGUGUAUCACUGUGGCAAUAACUGACUGCAUUUCUCUGUUUCUUAAAGCAGUUCAUGAAGAAAAGUGUAUGAAGGUGAAGAAAUUUCACAUGAAAUGGGGAGAAAGUCUUGUAAGCAACGUCUAGAUUUUUAGCUUGUCUUAAGCUGUUAUACAGGACACAGGAACAAGUCACCAUGUUGAAAUUGGGUUUGGUAAAAUAUUUGGGCUGUUAAAUUAACAACUGAUUACUAUGGGUUGUAGUAUGUAUUGUAUGUAAUACUACCUUGAACAUACAUUAGUAGUCACUGCAAUUUCACUAGGCAUUUAAGUAUGGGCAGUGUAUUUCCUUUCUACCAAAGGUGUGCUGUGAUUAACAGAACUGUUGUGAGUGUACUUCUUUUAGAAAUAGCCCCAAACAGAGCUAAAUCUGGAAGUCAGGACACUGGAAUUAGGCUUGCACAGCACAAAAUGGCAUUUAGUGCUUUGGAGUGAAAAAUAGCACUUCCCUAAAGGGCUCUGGUGUACAGACAGAUUAGAAGUAGGGACAGCUUGCCAGAAAGAGGGGUGGAUGUUUACAGGGGAAAAAGCAGAAGUUAAUGCCUGACAAAGCAUAUUCCUUUCUGGAGAUAGAGUAUAAUUUGAGGUUGCUGAAUCCAGUCAUGUCUGGGGUACCGCUGACUUAUUGUGAAGUCUGCUGUUAAAAAUCAUCACAUCUCACCUGACCUACAGAGAGGAUAACAGUCUUGUCUUGAAGUAUAGCCUUUGCUCAAGUAGCAACUGUGCAGUCAAAGAGCCUAGAAUCUUACUGAAAACAAGGUAUUGCUUUGUAGUGUAAGUACAAUGGUAUCUACACAAGUGUAGUAAUGAUCACAAGUGUAGCGAUGAUGUAACAAGUGUAGUGAUGAUUCAGUAGUCACCUAACACCCAAGUCCUUGGUUUUGCAAUUUUCCUUUUUACACUUAUAUUCUUUAUGCAACUUGGUCUUACUGAUAUUUUAAUUAAGUUUGCCUUGUUGCUGCAGAUUGAAAAAUCCUAUCCCUACAGUGUACUACAUUAAUGUGUACAUUACAUGCUAUUCUUGGCCAAUGACACAGCUGUCCUCAGGUAGGUUAGCCAAUGUAUUUACUCUGUUAAUGACAGAACUAACUUACUAGAAAAGAAACAAAUGAGGCAUCCUCAAAUUUCAGUGGAAGGUUUAGUCUCUGAAUGCGGAGAUGCAGAGAAAAACCUUGGUCCUGUCUACAAGGACGUGUGUCUUCCAAGACAUCCUCCACUUAAGUCAACAACUGGCACUAACUGGCAUUGUUCUGUUAUGACUUGGUGCCACUCAGACAAUUGGAAACAGAUUUGCCUGUCUCCUCCAGUUACCUUUUGUUUCCUAAAGCAGCCAUACCCAAACAAAUUAACUUUUUGAAGGUAUGUGCACACUGAAUGUGUUCAAGUUCAAUGAAGCAGCCCAAGUAAGUUAGUUUGCUUACUUGUGCAGGAUUUAGUGAGAUUAAAACAAACAAACAAACUUACUUUGACUUCUUAAAAUAUUAACUUCUAUUUUGAUGCAGACUUGAUCCAUUUUCUCUGAGCAUCUUAGAAGGCUCCUUAAAAUCUUUGGAAAAGGGGAAAUCAAAGCUUUGAUUCUGCUGCUACACAUAUCUCCAUAAGUAGAAAAAGUCAAGUGUUGCUGUUGCAUUUCAGAAUUUAAGACAAAAUGACAGGAUUUAGUUUUAUUCCCUGAGAUUCUUUGCUAAAAGAGCAAAAUGCACACUGAGCUAUUCCCAAUAGGGUGGUGGGUUCUAAUCUGUCUUGCUAGGAGAUACUUGUGGUCUGCCUGUGUGUAAAGAGAUCGUGCCUUGCUCUGUGCAGAGGCCUACUGGCAAGGGGUAAAAGGCAGUGAUUUCUUUAAUCCCACAAGGAUUAGAGCUUGGUGGGAAUUGCAAGUCUCCAUUUUGCAUAAAGACAAGACAGAUGUUAACAACUGCUUGCCAUUCAGGCAAUGACUUCCAGACCACACUAAGCUCCUUCAAGCACUGCAAUUGCUCUUGUGCUGCAGAAAGUUAGAUCCAGUCAGUAAUAUAUUUUAAGGGUUUUUUUGCAUCAGUCAGUAUACAUUUUUAAAAUUAUGGCUCGGUGUGCAGAAGUUCACCUAACUGAUAUGUCUGACUGAAAAUAGAAAGUGACACUAUGGCAUGACAUAUGCUUCUCUGAUGGAAUGACGUAGCUUAUGUACAGAAAAAGGUAUUUCACGUCGCGUCUAAUUUUUCCUCCCAUGUCUUUAAGAUUAAAUAACAACUUUAGCUACUGUUAGCAAGUGUUGUUGCUUAAUUCUUAUAAAUGACUGCAUUAAUAGAAGGCGGUUUUACUGCAUGAUUUAUUCAUUGCACUCUAUUUCAUGGAAUUGUCAAGGAACUGUUUUAACAGAGGAAAAUAUUCAGAAGCAGCUAGUACAAAUAAUCAUACAGGAAGACCUUUUGGCUGUAAGACAAGUACAGAUGUAAAUACACAAUGAAAUGUUUGCACAAACCAUUUUGAACACUGUUAAAUUAUUCUACUGCUAUGACUAUGCCAUGUGAAGUCAUCUGAGUUUUGCUGAGUGGCACAGUGCCACGCUGUGUUCAGCCAGACACUAAAUAAAUUUGUUGCUUGCAGUUUGUUCUCACCACAGAUUAUUUCAUUUCAAUUUUUCAGUUUGCUUCCAAAGGUAAAUACGACAGCAAUUAAUACAGCAGAGAUGAAGAAUUCAUAUAAAACACUGCUGCUCCCGUGGGAUAAGCUCUCACAGAGCAUGUUUGGAGAGGGAUCAAAACCAGAAACUUUUCCAUGGUUUUUUCAAGUGCCGUAUUUUUUUUUUCUCAUGGUCAGAAAAUGUUUUUAAACGCUGUGAAAAAUGGGAGGGCUGGAGUUUAUAAUUCUUGAAACGCAUUUGCAAAUGUUUGAUUCAACCUGUGACACGUACCGUAUCUCAUCUUUCUUAUAACUUUUUGAAGUCCAUCGUACUGCUGGAAUUUCUUCUUUAAACACGACACAGAUGAUCCUUCUCCUGACAGACGUUCAACAAACGCUGCCCAAUUACAGUUGGAGUGAGGCAGGUUUUCCUAGAAAAUGAUAUGUUUGCUGAAUUUUAGGUAGAUUAAGUGCAAGGUACACUUAGGAUACCAAGUGGAAUUGGCAGGCCAAGUGCAUAAUCUUGCUUUGGUCACCACUUUGAACUUGUCGUGCCUGUUAAGUUGAUACUGGUUCGAACUGGGAUAUAUGUAUCAAGGGACCAUUCCCUUUGUUCAGGGGAAAACAAGAACUUCAGGACAUUUACACUAAUAGUACGCUAAUUAAUACACUAUCCUAGCAUGCCAGCGAACUUCCCCAUAUAAUUCCAGAUUACUAGCUUCUAGAAACAGAAAAAUAGUUCCACCAGCAAUAGAGGAAAAAAACAAACCAAAAAGCCCAACCCAACUUUCAAAAUUCAAGUAUUUUUUUCUUCUAAGAUCUAGGAGUAGAAAUAUGUUGAAAUCUAAGUCUCCAAACAGCAGAAUGUUUAAGUAGAUACAUGUAAGUUCCAUCACAGCCACAGAUCUUCUCAUCCUUUGACAGUGGUUCAAAUGUAUAUGAUAAAUGUUAUCCCUUCUCUUAACAGUAUUUCAAUGCACGAAUUCAACAAGAAGUACAGUUAAGUACAGGAAAGGUGGAUUUUUUGUUGUUGUUGUUUUGCUUUUCUCUUUUAAUAAUGUAAUAUGAGGUUUUAUAAUGGCUCCUGAAGAAAAAUAUUUAUGUAUAUAUAACGAUGCUUAUAUUAUAACAAAUAACAAUAUGUGUUCAUGUAUAUCUAGAGAGCGUGAUCCUUGCUUGGAACGUUGCUCUGCCACGUUUGCUACUCAAGAGCAUGCAGCACUAAAAAAUAAAGUGCUACUGAUAUUCAUAUAGUAGAAACAAGUCAAUUUCAGCGUUGAAAUCAGGAAUAUAAAAUCUUACGCGAGCAUUCUUUUGCCUCUUCUUCUUCUCCCCGUGU